UACGUAGGGUGCAAGCGUUAAUCGGAAUUACUGGGCGUAAAGCGUGCGCAGGUGGUUUUGUAAGACAGAGGUGAAAUCCCCGAGCUCAACUUGGGAACUGCCUUUGUGACUGCAAGACUAGAGUGUGGCAGAGGGGGGUGGAAUUCCACGUGUAGCAGUGAAAUGCGUAGAGAUGUGGAGGAACACCGAUGGCGAAGGCAGCCCCCUGGGCUAACACUGACACUCAUGCACGAAAGCGUGGGGAGCAAACAGG
rnacentral:rRNA from 1 species